AAGACAGACAAACACAUUGACAGAACAGAGAGAACAGCCAUAACCACUGAUAGAAACAACAGAAAACAGAAAACAGACAGAGGAGCAACACACGGGACAGAGAGAGCAGGAGACGGGUCAGCGAGAGCAACAGACAGGACAGACUGACAAACAGGCAGACUGGGAGCAACAGACAGGACAAGUAGAGGCACAUGCAGAGGAGCAACAGACAGUACAAAUAGAAGCGCAUGCAGAGGAGAUGGAAGAAGACACAGAGAGACAAACAGAAGAGACUCACUCCCCCCAAUCCUACAGCAGGGCCAAAAGAGUCGUGCUCUGGCUGGAGCAGCAACAUAUAGAUCCAUUUUCAAAAAUGAGUGGACCUUUUCAUGGCCAUUUAUUACCAGAAGGACCCUCAUCACGCACUACUGGUGUGCAGUGUGCCGUUUUGAAAACUCCUGUUGCCACCAGGCUGUGACAGAUGUAGUGCGGCACAUAAAAACCAAAGGCCACCAAGAAAAGAAACGGGCUCUCCAGUCCUCACUCAGCGACAAUAUCACAAUAUGCAAUGCCCAUUCCCUCUGUUGGGGGCAUGUCUGCACAAGAUGCUAAGGAGUGGCAAAGAUUAACCCGCUUACUGUCCGGGUCUUCAUGGGCAGCAAAGUUGUCCACCAGUUCUUGAAUAUGUGCACAAAUAACUGGGAUGAGAUGUGGGAAAGCAAGUGAGAUCUUCACCAAAAUGAACACCGCCUUAGAGGAGC
ensembl:lncRNA